UACGGGGGGGGCAAGCGUUGUUCGGAAUUACUGGGCGUAAAGGGCUCGUAGGCGGCCAACUAAGUCGGACGUGAAAUCCCUCGGCUUAACCGGGGAACUGCGUCCGAUACUGGAUGGCUUGAGAUUGGGAGAGGGAUGCGGAAUUCCAGGUGUAGCGGUGAAAUGCGUAGAUAUCUGGAGGAACACCGGUGGCGAAGGCGGCAUCCUGGACCGGCAUUGACGCUGAGGCGCGAAAGCUAGGGGAGCAAACGGG
rnacentral:rRNA from 1 species